UAAAAAAAGGUAAGCUACUAAGAGCGAAUGGUGGAUGCCUUGACUGGUAAAGGCGAUGAAGGACGUACUAGACUGCGAUAAGCUACGGGGAGCUGUCAAGAAGCUUUGAUCCGUAGAUUUCCGAAUGGGGCAACCCAAUGUAUAGAGAUAUACAUUACCUAUAUAGGAGCGAACGAGGGGAAUUGAAACAUCUUAGUACCCUCAGGAAAAGAAAUCAAUAGAGAUUGCGUCAGUAGCGGCGAGCGAAAGCGCAAGAGGGCAAACCCAGUGCUUGCACUGGGGGUUGUAGGACUGCAAUGUGCAAGAGCUGAGUUUAGCAGAACAUUCUGGAAAGUAUAGCCAUAGAGGGUGAUAGUCCCGUAUGCGAAAAACAAAGCUUAGCUAGCAGUAUCCUGAGUAGGGCGGGACACGAGGAAUCCUGUCUGAAUCCGGGUCGACCACGAUCCAACCCUAAAUACUAAUACCAGAUCGAUAGUGCACAAGUACCGUGAGGGAAAGGUGAAAAGAACUGAGGUGAUCAGAGUGAAAUAGAACCUGAAACCAUUUGCUUACAAUCAUUCAGAGCACUAUGUAGCAAUACAGUGUGAUGGACUGCCUUUUGCAUAAUGAGCCUGCGAGUUGUGGUGUCUGGCAAGGUUAAGCAAACGCGAAGCCGUAGCGAAAGCGAGUCUGAAUAGGGCGCUUAGUCAGAUGCUGCAGACCCGAAACGAAGUGAUCUAUCCAUGAGCAAGUUGAAGCUAGUGUAAGAACUAGUGGAGGACUGAACCCAUAGGCGUUGAAAAGCCCCGGGAUGACUUGUGGAUAGGGGUGAAAGGCCAAUCAAACUUCGUGAUAGCUGGUUCUCUCCGAAAUAUAUUUAGGUAUAGCGUUGUGUCGUAAUAUAAGGGGGUAGAGCACUGAAUGGGCUAGGGCAUACACCAAUGUACCAAACCCUAUCAAACUCCGAAUACCUUAUAUGUAAUCACAGCAGUCAGGCGGCGAGUGAUAAAAUCCGUCGUCAAGAGGGAAACAACCCAGACUACCAGCUAAGGUCCCUAAAUCUUACUUAAGUGGAAAACGAUGUGAAGUUACUUAAACAACCAGGAGGUUGGCUUAGAAGCAGCCAUCCUUUAAAGAAAGCGUAAUAGCUCACUGGUCUAGUGAUUUUGCGCGGAAAAUAUAACGGGGCUAAAGUAAGUACCGAAGCUGUAGACUUGCACACAACUUAGAUUAUUUAAGUUUAGAAUAUGAGAAACUAAGUUAUAUGUUUAGUUAUAUUUUUACUGAUUUUUAUAGAGUAAAGAUAGAAAUAAAACUUAAUAAAAUCAGUAAAAAUAUUCUUAGGCUAAAGUUAAGUAGUUUAAGUUGUGUGCAAGUGGUAGGAGAGCGUUCUAUUUGCGUCGAAGGUAUACCGGUAAGGAGUGCUGGAGCGAAUAGAAGUGAGCAUGCAGGCAUGAGUAGCGAUAAUUAAUGUGAGAAUCAUUAACGCCGUAAACCCAAGGUUUCCUACGCGAUGCUCGUCAUCGUAGGGUUAGUCGGGUCCUAAGUCGAGUCCGAAAGGGGUAGACGAUGGCAAAUUGGUUAAUAUUCCAAUACCAACAUUAGUGUGCGAUGGAAGGACGCUUAGGGCUAAGGGGGCUAGCGGAUGGAAGUGCUAGUCUAAGGUUGUAGGAGGUUAUACAGGCAAAUCCGUAUAACAAUACUCCGAGAACUGAAAGGCUUUUUGAAGUCUUCGGAUGGAUAGAAGAACCCCUGAUGCCGUCGAGCCAAGAAAAGUUUCUAAGUUUAGCUAAUGUUGCCCGUACCGUAAACCGACACAGGUGGGUGGGAUGAGUAUUCUAAGGCGCGUGGAAGAACUCUCUUUAAGGAACUCUGCAAAAUAGCACCGUAUCUUCGGUAUAAGGUGUGGUUAGCUUCGUACUAGGAUUUACUCCGAAAGCGAAGAAACUUACAACAAAGAGUCCCUCCCGACUGUUUACCAAAAACACAGCACUCUGCUAACUCGUAAGAGGAUGUAUAGGGUGUGACGCCUGCCCGGUGCUCGAAGGUUAAUUGAUGGGGUUAGCAUUAGCGAAGCUCUUGAUCGAAGCCCGAGUAAACGGCGGCCGUAACUAUAACGGUCCUAAGGUAGCGAAAUUCCUUGUCGGUUAAAUACCGACCUGCAUGAAUGGCGUAACGAGAUGGGAGCUGUCUCAAAGAGGGAUCCAGUGAAAUUGUAGUGGAGGUGAAAAUUCCUCCUACCCGCGGCAAGACGGAAAGACCCCGUGGACCUUUACUACAGCUUGACACUGCUACUUGGAUAAGAAUGUGCAGGAUAGGUGGGAGGCUUUGAGUAUAUGACGCCAGUUGUAUAUGAGCCAUUGUUGAGAUACCACUCUUUCUUAUUUGGGUAGCUAACCAGCUUGAGUUAUCCUCAAGUGGGACAAUGUCUGGUGGGUAGUUUGACUGGGGCGGUCGCCUCCCAAAUAAUAACGGAGGCUUACAAAGGUUGGCUCAGAACGGUUGGAAAUCGUUCGUAGAGUAUAAAGGUAUAAGCCAGCUUAACUGCAAGACAUACAAGUCAAGCAGAGACGAAAGUCGGUCUUAGUGAUC
rnacentral:rRNA from 1 species